rnacentral:rRNA from 1 species
GUCCACGCCCUAACGAUGCAUAUUUGGUGUGGGUCAUUCAGUUGAUCCGUGCCGGAGCUAACGCGUUAAAUAUGCCGCCUGGGGAGUACAGUCGCAAGGCUGAAACUCAAAGGAAUUGACGGGGCCCGCACAAGCGGUGGAGCAUGUGGUUCAAUUCGACGCAACGCGAAGAACCUUACCUGGGGCUCGAACGGCUUCUCAACGCCGGUAGAAAUAUCGGUAUCCCGCAAGGGAUGGAGUCGAGGUGCUGCAUGGCUGUCGU